AGCUUUGUGCACUGGCAGUAUCGUAGCCAAUGAGGUUUAUCCAAGGCGCAAUUAUUGCUAAUUGAAAAGGAAGAUGCAAACCAAAAUCACAAUGAGGUAUCACCUAAUGCUAGUAAGAAUAGUUAUUGUUUAUAAUAAUAAUAAUAAU
rnacentral:snRNA from 11 species